GUGAAUCAUCGAAUCUUUGAACGCAAAUUGCACUCUCUGGUAUUCCGGGGAGUAUGCCUGUUUGAGGGUCAGUUUAAAUAAAAAUCGGGUUGGUUGCUGCCUUUCGUGGUUACGCACCGGAUUUCGGUCGUCUUGCCUUCGGUUAAGGGACCUAAAAUUUAGCAUUAUUUUUUCGUACGUAUUUAAAUGAUUUUACGUACUUAUUCGAUAACGAUUACUACGUACGUUCAUUCUCAUGAUUCGC
rnacentral:misc_RNA from 1 species